rnacentral:rRNA from 1 species
UGAGGAAUAUUGGUCAAUGGGCGCGAGCCUGAACCAGCCAAGUCGCGUGAGGGAGGACGGCCCUACGGGUUGUAAACCUCUUUUGCCGGGGAGCAACGGGCGUCACGUGUGGCGCCACUGAGAGUACCCGGAGAAAAGCAUCGGCUAACUCCGUGCC